ensembl:snRNA U6 U6 spliceosomal RNA
UCGCUUCAGCAGCAGGCGUACUCAAAUUGGAACCAUGCGGGGAAGAUUAGUAUGGCCCCUGCUCGAGGAUGACCUGUAUCACUUGGCAAGCUGGAACUGAAAGA